CCUGAUGUUAGAGAUGCUGUAGCCACGGGAGACCUGAUGAGAAAAGGUGCAAACAGGAGAUGAAACCAGCCCAAGAGAAAGAAGAAUGUUACAGUCAACAAAGCUCAAAGGAGCUGGAGAGCUAACAUCAGACAUGAGGGUGCAGAGCUUGGUGUUUGCCCAGCUGGUUUUCCAUCUUGCUUUGGUCCAGUGUUUCCUCACUGUGCUCCCUUUUGGAAUGGCAGUGUAGAUCCUGUGCCAUGAUAUGUUGGAAGUAUGUGAAGUUUUUGAUUUUGAUUCAACAGGGGAGUACAGUUAAGAGAUCGUACAACUCUCGGAAGACAAUCUUGAAUUUUGGACUUUUAAGCAAGUUUGAGAUUUUAUAGACUAUGGCGACUUUUGAAGUUGUACUGAAUGCUGCUUUGCGUUAAGAUCUGACCAAAAGCCUAUGGGGUCCAGGCAGUGGAAUGUGAUGGUUUGAAUAGGAAUGCCCCACCCUCAUUGACUCCAUGAUGAUAAUGGCUGAACCUCUGAAAUGAUAAGUAUAGACCCCGCCGCCCAUGAAAAAGACUUCUCUAUGCAACAGAUAGAGACCACUGCCGAGAACCACCUCAAUCAAGCACAGAGCCGUGGAGCCCAGCAGAUUCCCCUACAACAUGACUUCUGUAACCUAAGUCUUGGGAAUCACUGCAGAAGACGGGAAGAUUGUAACAGCCGGGAGAUUAGGGUGUUUGCUGUGAGAUGGAGUCCCCAGGAAUGUAGGAAGUACAAGCCUAAAAUCUUAAAAAGAUUUCACAUGAUUCCGUCCAGCAAACUGCAACUGUGAGUCCAACGUGGAAACACGACGGAAAGAGGACCAUGAAUGCAAAUUUACUACUAAAAUGGAAAUAAAGCAGGAACCGUGACUAAGACAGGAGUCUAGCAUGGCUGUCCUCUGAGAAGCCCUACCAGCAUCUCACUGAGAAAGAUGCAGAUACUUACAACCAAACACUGGACCCCUAAGGAAGAGUUAGGGGAGGACUGAAGGAGCUGAAGGGGAUGGCAACACCACAGGAAGACCAACAGAGUCAACUAUCCUGGACCCCUGGGAGCUCCCAGAGACUAAGUCACCAACCAAAGAGCAUACAGGGGCUGGUCCCAGGCCUCCCCCGCCCCCCCACUCCCCUGGCACACAUAUGCAUAAGGGGAAUACCUUGAAUGCCUUGUCUGGCCUCAGUAGAAGAGGAUGUGACAAAUCCUGAAGAGAUUUGAUGCCCCGGGGAAGGGG